GACGAACGCUGGCGGUGUGCUUCACACAUGCAAGUCGAACGAGGUAGCAAUACCUAGUGGCGGACGGGUGAGUAACGCGUGGGAAUCUGCCCAUAGGUGGGGGAUAACUAGCCGAAAGGUUAGCUAAUACCGCAUAUGCCGAGAGGUAAAAGGAGUAAUCCGCCUUUGGAUGAGCCCGCGUCCGAUUAGCUAGUUGGUAGGGUAAAAGCCUACCAAGGCUACGAUCGGUAGCUGGUCUGAGAGGAUGAUCAGCCACAAUGGGACUGAGACACGGCCCAUACUCCUACGGGAGGCAGCAGUGGGGAAUAUUGGACAAUGGGCGCAAGCCUGAUCCAGCCAUGCCGCGUGAGUGAUGAAGGCCUUAGGGUUGUAAAGCUCUUUUUGCCGGGGACGAUAAUGACGGUACCCGGAGAAUAAGUACCCGGCUAACUUCGUGCCAGCAG
rnacentral:rRNA from 1 species